AGGUAGGUCGGUUGUGAAAACUGGAGGCUCAACCUUCAGACGUCGACCGAAACCCCCUGGCUAGAGUCCGGAAGAGGAGAGUGGAAUUCCUGGUGUAGCGGUGAAAUGCGCAGAUAUCAGGAAGAACACCCGUGGCGAAGGCGGCUCUCUGGGACGGUACUGACGCUGAGACGCGAAAGCGUGGGGAGCGAACAGGAUUAGAUACCCUGGUAGUCCACGCCGUAAACGAUGGGUGCUAGGUGUGGGGGGUGUMGACUCCCUCCGUGCCGAAGCUAACGCAUUAAGCACCCCGCCUGGGGAGUACGGCCGCAAGGCUA
rnacentral:rRNA from 1 species